rnacentral:rRNA from 2 species
GACGUAGGGUCCAAGCGUUGUCCGGAUUUACUGGGCGUAAAGAGCGCGUAGGCGGCUUGUUAAGUGUGAAGUGAAAUCUCCAGGGCUCAACCCGGAAACUGCUUUACAUACUGGCAAGCUGGAGUGAUGCAGAGGUUUGUGGAAUUCCUGGUGUAACGGUGAAAUGUGUUGAUAUCAGGAGGAACACCCAUGGCGAAGGCAGCAAACUGGGCAUCAACUGACGCUGAGGCGCGAAAGCGUGGGUAGCAAACAGG